AAUAUUGGACAAUGGGCGAAAGCCUGAUCCAGCCAUGCCGCGUGAGUUAAGAAGGUCUUCGGAUUGUAAAGCACUUUAAGUAGGGAGGAAGGGCAGUAAGUUAAUACGUUGCUGUUUUGACGUUACCGACAGAAUAAUCACCGGCUAACUACGUGCCAGCAGCCGCGGUAAUACGAAGGGUGCAAGCAGUAAUCGGAAUGACUUGGCGUAAAGCGGGCGUAGGUGGUUUGUUAAGUUGGAAGUGAAAGCCCCGGGCUCAACCUGGGAACUGCUUUCAAAACUGGCAAGCUAGAGUAUGGCAGAGGGUGGUGGAAUUUCCUGUGUAGCGGUGAAAUGCGUAGAUAUAGGAAGGAACACCAGUGGCGAAGGCGACUACCUGGACUGAUACUGACACUGAGGUGCGAAAGCGUGGGGAGCAAAC
rnacentral:rRNA from 1 species